GGGGCUGAUCAGCUUCGACGUAAGUUCUUUAAUAGUUUUAAAUUGCAAAUCGAGCCGAGUUAACUCGCUAAACUGAUUCAAAAACUUCAAGUGCAAAUUCACUUGUUAGCAAAGUAAAAGCUGCUUUUAGCGGCUUGAGCUUUGCGCCAGCUGUAGUUUAAUUUCUAUGGCCGUCUGUCAUUCCAGCUCCUCGACUGAAGUGAACAGGCGUCAUUUUUCGAGGUGCUUUUCGGUUGUAUCUGUAAGCCGAAAUUAAGAUUCACAGGAUAAGGUUAGUUGAUUUUGUUUGUUUUUUACAGCUAACCCGAAAACAAAAAACAAUCUAAAUUUGUAGAAUGUUUAAAGCUAUGCUUACGGACGCGGGUGCGAUUCCCGCCAGCUCCAUUU
rnacentral:tmRNA from 6 species